GUGAUUGUAAUUCUUUCUAUCCCAAAUAUUGUUUAGUUAAAGUGUUUCUGUUGUUUUUCAUAAAACAAAUACUGUUCAAUUGUUUCGAUGACAUUUUGAUAUAGAUAACCUCAUUAUAAACAAUUAUUUUAUUUUGGGUCGACUCCAAUCUUAAUUGACCAGGAUUGUCAGUUUUCCUGUCGAAGGUCGGUGGUUUUCUCCGGACACUCCGGCUUCCUCCACCAAUAAAAUCUGGCCGCC
rnacentral:lncRNA from 1 species